AUUAGGUCUGAUCCGUUACCGUUAGCUACUGAUAGAUUCAUUAGGUCUGAUCCGUUACCGUUAGCUACUGAUAGAUUCAUUAGGUCUGAUCCGUUACCGUUAGCUACUGAUAGAUUCAUUAGGUCGGAUCUGUUACCGUUAGCUACUGAUAGAUUCAUUAGGUCUGAUCCGUUACCGUUAGCUACUGAUAGAUUCAUUAGGUCGGAUCUGUUACCGUUAGCUACUGAUAGAUUCAUUAGGUCUGAUCUGUUACCGUUAGCUACUGAUAGAUUCAUUAGGUCGGAUCUGUUACCGUUAGCUACUGAUAGAUUCAUUAGGUCUGAUCCGUUACCGUUAGCUACUGAUAGAUUCAUUAGGUCUGAUCCGUUACCGUUAGCUACUGAUAGAUUCAUUAGGUCUGAUCCGUUACCGUUAGCUACUGAUAGAUUCAUUAGGUCUGAUCCGUUACCGUUAGCUACUGAUAGAUUCAUUAGGUCUGAUCCGUUACCGUUAGCUACUGAUAGAUUCAUUAGGUCUGAUCCGUUACCGUUAGCUACUGAUAGAUUCAUUAGGUCUGAUCCGUUACCGUUAGCUACUGAUAGAUUCAUUAGGUCGGAUCUGUUACCGUUAGCUACUGAUAGAUUCAUUAGGUCUGAUCCGUUACCGUUAGCUACUGAUAGAUUCAUUAGGUCUGAUCCGUUACCGUUAGCUACUGAUAGAUUCAUUAGGUCUGAUCCGUUACCGUUAGCUACUGAUAGAUUCAUUAGGUCUGAUCCGUUACCGUUAGCUACUGAUAGAUUCAUUAGGUCUGAUCCGUUACCGUUAGCUACUGAUAGAUUCAUUAGGUCUGAUCUGUUACCGUUAGCUACUGAUAGAUUCAUUAGGUCUGAUUUUGAUGAUUAGUAACUUUUAAGGAGACAGAAAAUGAGAGAAGCGUGUUUACUCCCAG